rnacentral:rRNA from 1 species
GACGAACGCUGGCGGCGUGCUUAACACAUGCAAGUCGAACGGUGAAGCGCCUUCCUUUUUGGUGGGUGUGGAUGAGUGGCGAACGGGUGAGUAACACGUGAGUAACCUGCCCCCUUCUUCUGGACAACCGCAUGAAAGUGUGGCUAAUACGGGAUAUUCUGGGUCUGUCGCAUGAUGGGUCUGGGAAAGAUAUUGUUUCGGUGGGGGAUGGGCUCGCGGCCUAUCAGCUUGUUGGUGGGGUGAUGGCCUACCAAGGCGGUGACGGGUAGCCGGCCUGAGAGGGUGGACGGUCACACUGGGACUGAGACACGGCCCAGACUCCUACGGGAGGCAGCAGUGGGGAAUAUUGCACAAUGGGCGCAAGCCUGAUGCAGCGACGCCGCGUGAGGGAUGGAGGCCUUCGGGUUGUGAACCUCUUUCGCCAGUGAAGCAGGCCUGCCUCGUUUGUGGGUGGGUUGACGGUAGCUGGAUAAGAAGCGCCGGCUAACUACGUG